CACUCCUGUUUCUGCCUCACUGUCUGCUUGGACGAUAUACUGCUCCAGGCGAUAGACUGCUGGGUUCUAAUUAUGGAGAAGAAGAAGCCAGUGGAUUGCUCCUUAGUCGCCUUUGAUACAACAGACUUUGUGGGUUCUAAAUCUGCUGGAUCGUGAGAUUUUGCGGUAUUCCGAUGCGGACGCUCGCUUUUCAGUGCAAUCGUCCCAACAUGGGUAUCGUGCUCUACAUUU
rnacentral:snoRNA from 1 species